GUAUUGCCCGCCCCGCCCCCAUAUUGCCCGCCCCGCCCCCAUAUUGCCCGCUGAUCGCCCAUAUUGCCCGCUGCACCCCAAACUGCCCGCUGCCCACCUAUAUUGCCCGUUGACCACCCGUAUUGCCUCCUGCACGAACAGACUGCCUGCCUCCGACGUAUAGCGAUGCCGCCUAUUCAACGCGCAUCACCCGAACAUGUCACCUCACAACCAUGCACGCGCAACUGGGUACGUUUCACGCAAUCAACUCCAAACAAUGUAGCGAAAGUGAAUAUCUACGAAGCGCGCGUAAGAACGUGCGGGUACAACGCGAAAUGUCCGAAUUGAAGGGCCCUUGGAUCUUGAGAAGGCAGCGACGACAGGGAGCAUGCUUGAUUAUGUCUUGUGGCUGCAGUAAUGUUGAACGGACGCGCGGCAGUAAGAGCGAAGGUCUAGGACCUAAUGGAAGCUGGGAUGUUGCCGACCGGCCCCCACGGCGCGGCAUAGUGCAGCGCCCAGACACAAUCAAUGACACACAUGAAGACUCAUUGAAAAAACUUGCUGGAGCGCAUCCAGCCGCGCGGAACCCAGACUUACAAUGCCAGAUGUCGAGUUGAAGAGUUCCGGCCUCAACAGAACUGGGAAUGCCAGUCUUGAACGAAGGAUUCAAUCAGGAUGCCAUUUGCCUGUUGGCGUCGCACGGAAGGAGGUAAGCGAAAUCCCUGUCACCACAUGGAGGUUGCAACAAAGAACCAAAGGGGAGCUGCCAUUUUGUGUUGAAAUGCAUCCUGGGUAAACGGUCCUAGCAGCUUAUGAAACACAGCAGAGCGCAGCCCCACCGUCAGCCUGGCCGUUGCAUGCCAUCAGAAAUUACCCCCGGCCCCAGCUACUUACGCGGCGGGGGUCGUAGCUCCAUCAUGCUUGGCACCUUGCAGGGCUCCAGAAGCGAUCCAGCGACGUUGGGGAGCGCGGGGCGCGACGCCAGCGAAGUCAUGCCGAAGAUCUUCGUAGCUACGCACCGUCUAUGGCAAUCAUAGUAUCUAUUUGAUACAUGUAUGUAAUGUAUCUGAACUAUAAUAAAAAACUAAGGCCGACGCUGCAACAGAUAGCGCAGGCCAAUUGGAUUCAUUCGCCCAUGCGGACGCCGGACAGGCGGUGAAGAUGGCGAUUGAAA
rnacentral:lncRNA from 1 species